UGUGGGAGCUGGCUUGCCUGCGAUAGCGGUUUGUCUGAUGCACCGCUAUCGCAGGCAAGCCAGCUCCCACA
rnacentral:antisense_RNA from 1 species